rnacentral:rRNA from 1 species
GAACGCGUCUCCGUUAAUGAUUUUAGGUGCUUGCACUUGAAAGAUUUAACAUUGAGACGAGUGGCGAACUGGUGAGUAACACGUGGGUAACCUGCCCUUGAAGUAGGGGAUAACACUUGGAAACAGGUGCUAAUACCGUAUAACAACCAAAACCACCUGGUUUUGGUUUAAAAGACGGCUUCGGCUGUCACUUUAGGAUGGACCCGCGGCGCAUUAGCUUGUUGGUAAGGUAACGGCUUACCAAGGCGAUGAUACGUAGCCGACCUGAGAGGGCAAUCGGCCACAUUGGGACUGAGACACGGCCCAAACUCCUACGGGAGGCAGCAGUAGGGAAUCUUCCACAAUGGACGAAAGUCUGAUGGAGCAACGCCGCGUGAGUGAUGAAGGGUUUCGGCUCGUAAAACUCUGUUGUUGGAGAAGAACAGGUGUCAGAGUAACUGUUGACAUCUUGACGGUAUCCAACCAGAAAGCCACGGCUAACUACGUGCCAGCAGCCGCGGUAAUACGUAGGUGGCAAGCGUUGUCCGGAUUUAUUGGGCGUAAAGCGAGCGCAGGCGGUUUUUUAGGUCUGAUGUGAAGGCCUUCGGCUUAACCGGAGAAGUGCAUCGGAAACCGGGAGACUUGAGUGCAGAAGAGGACAGUGGAACUCCAUGUGUAGCGGUGAAAUGCGUAGAUAUAUGGAAGAACACCAGUGGCGAAGGCGGCUGUCUGGUCUGUAACUGACGCUGAGGCUCGAAAGCAUGGGUAGCGAACAGGAUUAGAUACCCUGGUAGUCCAUGCCGUAAACGAUGAGUGCUAAGUGUUGGAGGGU